UACGUAGGGGGCAAGCGUUAUCCGGAUUUACUGGGUGUAAAGGGAGCGUAGACGGAUGGACAAGUCUGAUGUGAAAGGCUGGGGCUCAACCCCGGGACUGCAUUGGAAACUGCCCGUCUUGAGUGCCGGAGAGGUAAGCGGAAUUCCUAGUGUAGCGGUGAAAUGCGUAGAUAUUAGGAGGAACACCAGCGGCGAAGGCGGCUUACUGGACGGUAACUGACGUUGAGGCUCGAAAGCGUGGGGAGCAAACAGG
rnacentral:rRNA from 1 species